UUUUAAAAMCAUAAGGUAGUAUUAAAUCAAAAAMCCAWAURRRRNGGCGGUCAUAAUAAAUUAGAGGAAMUSGSUUUAUAAUNGUCAAUACCCGAUAAAUUUUACUUAAUAAAAACAACUUAUAUACCGCCGUUACAGAUUAUAUUAAAUAAUAUAAAUCAAAUAAUAUUUACAUCAAAAAUCAGGUCAAGGUGUAGUUAAUUNNUAAGAAAAAGUAAGUUACAAUAAAAAUAAUNUAAGGAUUAAAUUAAAAAAAAAAAUGAAAAAGAAUCUAAUAUUAAAUUCAAAUUAAAAUAUUAAAUAGAAUAUUAAAUUAAUGACGC
rnacentral:rRNA from 1 species